rnacentral:rRNA from 1 species
GAAAAAGGAGGGGGGGUGAGGCGCGGUAAUAAGGAGGUUCGGGGCGUGGGCCUGAUGUAGGGGGCGGAAAGCGAGCGCAGGCGGUUAGAUAAGUCUGAAGUGAAAGGCAGUGGUUUAACCAUGGUAGGCGUUGGAAACUGUUUAACUUGAGUGCAGAAGGGGAGAGUGGAAUUCCAUGUGUAGCGGUGAAAUGCGUAGAUAUAUGGAGGAACACCGGUGGCGAAAGCGGCUCUCUGGUCUGUAACUGACGCUGAGGCUCGAAAGCGUGGGGAGCGAACAGGAUUAGAUACCCGGGUAGUC